rnacentral:rRNA from 2 species
CCAGCACUAAAGCACCGGAUCCCAUCAGAACUCCGAAGUUAAGCGUGCUUGG